GUGGAGUCAAAUUCAUUUUAAACAGUGCUGUCUUUUCCUAUGUUCGAAAGGGAGCACCUUUUCAUCUCUCCUUGACCCGAUGACGUUUUCCACAAAGGUUAAGUAAAGGAGGCAUAAAGAUUAGGAGAUUUGACUAUUCGUAGAGUCCCUGGUGUUCUAUAUCUAUGUUCGUGAAGAUUUCCGUCAACGAGUGCUGACUUUAACGUCAUUGUUCUCAGCCACUCCCUCUGGUCGCUGUUUGGACGCACAGAAUUUGGACGGAAAAACCCGCGAACAUACCGCAAACCCAGCCGUAGCACUGAAGGGAAAUGAAAAUUGAGCGGAAGUACUUAGGCGGGCGGAGCCAGGCUACCAGCUUACUACAAGACACUGUAAAGCAGCCUUGAGUAUGAGAAAGGCGCUCUAUAUAAUAAACAUUAUUAUUACUAAUUUAGCCAGAUCCUCCACCGCUGUAAGUUAACCACACGCUCGUCUCUGACAGAAGAAGUUCUUCUUCUCCGUGCAAUUUCUGGGUUGCACGUCCAGGGAGCUCCCAGACAUGGCGCCACAGAAGUUGUUCUGGUCUGGACAGGCGGGCAGUUCAUGGCGGAUCGCCUUAUCCCCGUCCCCCACCCAGAACCACCUGCUACUCAGAUUUCAAGCCUGCUGGUUUCCACUUUGCACAAUGCUUAUCCUCCUUUGGUUCGUCGUCUGUACACCAAAACAAGGCUUAAUUAAGGCAAGCGAAGGACACCAAGUGGCUCCCCUCCGGCCCACGUCCAAACGCCAUCAGUUCGUCGGAGACCAACCCAGCCCUCGCCACUAUGACUGGGCUCAUGUCCAUCCCUGACGGUCAGAAGACACCAGGUGCAUCAAAGGAGUGAGAAGGACCAGGAUGAAGACACGGCGCAGGUAUGAAUCCAUGUCUGCAACGGACAGAAAGAACAGGUGUACCACCUGACUUACACGCAGUAAUGUGUACACGUACGUACACAUGUUGGACAUGUGCAGAUACAUUGAUAUCGCUAUCGGAUACGACUGGCCCAAGACUACACCCAUAUAAGGCUAUUGUAGACGCCCACUCUUAAAGCUCUGUUUGAAUAUUUCACCAAUGCAUGAGCACUUACAAACUUACUUAUAUCUGAUUAUUUUAACAAUGCUAGACAUCUCAUGGAGAAAUGUUGCAUCAUCCCGUCUCUUAUACUGACCCCUAAGUCUUUCGUGAUAAGUUAUUCAGUUUGAUCAGCUGUGUAUAGUCCUAGUACUCAACAAGCAGUACUCCUUGGAAGGAGGCAGUAUGACUAUGAAUACAUUAGUACUAAAGCAGUAAGCAGUAUUGCUACAUUAGUAGUAUACUCAGUACUCAUCCAUGGCGAAGCAUGAAGUAUUAAUACAUAAGUACUAGUGCUGUCAAGCGAUUAAAAUAUUUAAUGUGAUUAAUCAAAUUAAUGUCAUAGUUAACUCACGAUUAAUCGCGAUAAUCGCAAAUCUUUUCUCUACGCUAAAUAUCCCUUGAUUUCUUUGUCCCAUUAAUUGUUCUCAUUUUAAUGCACUUAUCAACAUGGAGAAGUGCAUCGGCUUGCCUUAUGCAAAUGUUAUUUAUUGAUAACAACAUUGGCAUAUACUGAUCAAAACAGGACGAUACAAAAAAAAUGCCUAUAGUGCAAUUAAACGAUGAACAGACAAACAUACUGCCUUGAACAUAGCAGUCAGGCUACUGCUUCUUUGUUUUGAGCCAAAGAAAAAAAAAGUUUAUUUUUAUUUUUAAUAAGAAGUAGCGUUCGCAAGCUAAAAAAAGUAACGCAGUUAAAAUUGGUUUGCGUUAACGCCGUUAAUAACGCGUUUAACUGACAGCACUAAUAAGUACUAAAGCAGUUCUCCCCGAGGAUGAAGGAAGCAGUAUAACUACAUUAGUACUAAAGCAAUACUCACCCAUGGUGAGGAAACAUUAUUAGUACAUUAGUGCCCAGGAUGGAGAAAGCAGUGUUAGUUCAUUCAUACUAAAGCAGUAUUACUACAUAAGUACUAAAGCAGUACUCACCAAGGUUGUUCUCUGGUACAUCUGAGGUCUAAUGCUUGUGUUCCCCACAGCAGAUUAGAUUUAAGAUGUUUUCCACACACCCAUUAGUGCACCAACUGACACCACUCCCGUCCAGCGGACCAAUGAGAACACAGAUAGGUGAAAAACACCUCGUAAGAAAUGACACCACCUGAGCAAGCAUGUAAAUACGAGGUGGAUGGUCGUCUGAUCAACAUCCUUCUCACCGGGCUCACCAAGAUUUGAAUGGUUAAUUUAUUUUUUACAUCAAAUCUUUUCCGACAAUCUUCUAUUACAGUAUCCUUGGUCCUCAAACGCAAUGGGUUGGUCAUAGUCCCAGGUGAAUUAUUUUUUAUAUUUAAAGCAUCAUUUUUUUUUAAGUACCGGUACUUAAUUCUGAAAAGUAUGUCCAAUUGACAACUUUAAGUGUACUAACUACACAAGGCCAAGUGGGUGAGAAUUGAGUGGUGUCGAGUUGAACGGAAUUGACAGAACAGGAAUAUAACAUUCAUAGUUCUUAGUGUAUAAUCCCAUGAAAAAAAUAAUUGCUGGAUCUCGUUGCCUUAGUUUUAGCCGCAUCUACAUGGGGCUAAAACUGCCAAAGAGGCUGCCAUGUUGCAACCUCAGAGUUUUAAGAAGGGUGUGGGUUUAGGCUACACAAAUAGACUACAACCUAUUUGUGUAUUUUGUUUUUUCUUGAGCCGUAGUGGAGGAGGGUUGUGAAAGUUUUAAUGAGAUCAUUUGAUGUGAAAAUGGGCCCACACGACGAGAGGUUAUACUACCCAUCCGACAAGCUAAUCCCUCUCGGACGUGGACAUCCAAAUCAACCUUCUUGGCAGGAGCUCAAAACAUUUCACACCCAAACACACACCCACUUACACACACAUGCCCACACACAUGUACACACACACACACGCACACACACAAAGGCGUUGCAAUAUAAAUGUCAGAGAAGCUUAAAGGCUGUGUUGCAGGGUUUAUUUUCCAACAAAUUUUUGCAAUUUGCUGUUAGUAAUAAAGAUUUUAACUGUUAUUUAUCGUAUUUAAUGUUGUUGGGUAUCACAAAACGGAAUAUAAUACGAAAAGGUAGCUUCUGUUUUAGCGGUUGGCUAUUGAUUCUCAUUUCCCCCAGAAUGCAUUG